GACGAACGCUGGCGGCGUGCCUAAUACAUGCAAGUGGGACGCAAGGGAACACACUGUGCUUGCACACCGUGUUUUCUUGAGUCGCGAACGGGUGAGUAACGCGUAGGUAACCUGCCUAUUAGCGGGGGAUAACUAUUGGAAACGAUAGCUAAUACCGCAUAAUAUUAAUUAUUGCAUGAUAAUUGAUUGAAAGAUGCAAGCGCAUCACUAGUAGAUGGACCUGCGUUGUAUUAGCUAGUUGGUAAGGUAAGAGCUUACCAAGGCGACGAUACAUAGCCGACCUGAGAGGGUGAUCGGCCACACUGGGACUGAGACACGGCCCAGACUCCUACGGGAGGCAGCAGUAGGGAAUCUUCGGCAAUGGACGAAAGUCUGACCGAGCAACGCCGCGUGAGUGAAGAAGGUUUUCGGAUCGUAAAGCUCUGUUGUAAGUCAAGAACGUGUGUGAGAGUGGAAAGG
rnacentral:rRNA from 1 species